UCGGAUGUGGUGUACGGUGCACGUCAGCCCCUGUCAAUAUUUGACUGCUUGCAGGCUGAAGACCCGGGUUCGACUCCCUGCAUCCGAA